GGACUACCCGGGUUUCUAAUCCUGUUUGAUCCCCACGCUUUCGUGCCUCAGCGUCAAUUAUCGUUUAGCCAGCUGCCUUCGCAAUCGGUGUUCUAUGUCAUAUCUAAGCAUUUCACCGCUACAUGACAUAUUCCGCCAACCUCAACGAUAUUCAAGACUAAUAGUAUCCAAGGCAGUUUCCGAGUUAAGCUCGGAGAUUUCACCUCGGACUUAAUAGCCCGCCUACACACCCUUUAAACCCAGUGAAUCCGGAUAACGCUUGCACCCUCCGUAUUACCGCGGCUGCUGGCAC
rnacentral:rRNA from 1 species